AACUUUUAUAAAAAAUAGAAUUUGAUUAAUUAAAAUAAACUUAUUUUAGUAUUUAACUACUUAAAAUAUAAGCUGAUAAGCAUUUAUUAAUUGAAUUAUAAAAAUUAAAUUUUUGUACCUUUUGUAUCAGGGUCUACCUAAAUAUAUAAAUAUAUUAUAAUCCCGAAAUAAAAUGAUCUAUUUUUAUAAAAAUAAUAUUGUAAUAAACUAUAAAUAAUAUAAUAAUAGAAGUGAAAUAUUAAUCGCAUUUUAAAAUAUCUGGUUUCUAGAAAAAAUAAUUCAAUUAAAUUGUUGAUCAAACAUGAAAAAAAAGAAAGGUUAAGCUCUCUUUUUUAAAUAUUUAUAAAUACUAAAUAUUAUUUUAUUCCUAAAAAUAGUUUUAAUAAUAAUUUAUUAUAAUUAAAUCAGUAAUAACUAUUCAUUUAUAUUUAAUAAUAUUAAAAAAAUCUAGAAAUUUAAUUAAAUAAACUAAUUAAAUAAAUACUGGUAGUAUUAGUACCAUCUUUAUAUAUAAACAAGGAACUCGGCAAUAAACUUUUUAACUGUUUAUCAAAAACACUUCUUUAUUAUAAUCAUAAAGUAUAAUCUGCUCACUGAAUUUUUAAAGAGCUGCAGUAUAUUAACUGUACAAAGGUAGCAAAAUAAUUUGUAUUUUAAUUGAAUACUUGUAUGAAUGAUUUAAUAAAAAGUAACUGUCUCUUUUAUAUAAUUUGAAUUUUAACUUUAAGUGAAAAUGCUUAAAUAACUAAGAAAGACGAUAAGACCCUUUGAAACUUUAUAAAAAUAAACAUUAUUAACAAUUUAAGUUUUGUGUUAAUUUUUAUUUUACUGGGGAAAGUACAUAUAUUUAAAAUAUAAGUUAAUAAAGAUAAUUAAUCUAUAUAAGAUCCUAUUUAAAGAUCGAAAGUAAAAGUUACUCUAGGGAUAACAGAACAAUUUACUUUUGGAGACCUUAUCUACAAGUAUAUUGUCACCUCGAUGUUGAAUUAAAUUUAAUCAAGAAUGCAGUCGUUCUUAAAUUGGAUUUGUUCAAUCCUUAAAAAUUUACAUGAUUUGAGUUCAAAUCGGCGUAAGCCAGAUUGUUUUCUAUCUUCUUAAAAAGAAAGUUUAUUUUAGUACGAAAGGACCAAAUAAACUAUAUUAUAUAUAAAUAUAGAAUAAAUUUAAAUUGAAUUUU
rnacentral:rRNA from 1 species